rnacentral:rRNA from 1 species
CAUAGGUUAAUGAGGCGAACCGGGGGAACUGAAACAUCUAAGUACCCCGAGGAAAAGAAAUCAACCGAGAUUCCCCCAGUAGCGGCGAGCGAACGGGGAGCAGCCCAGAGCCUGAAUCAGUGUGUGUGUUAGUGGAAGCGUCUGGAAAGGCGCGCGAUACAGGGUGACAGCCCCGUACACAAAAAUGCACAUGCUGUGAGCUCGAUGAGUAGGGCGGGACACGUGGUAUCCUGUCUGAAUAUGGGGGGACCAUCCUCCAAGGCUAAAUACUCCUGACUGACCGAUAGUGAACCAGUACCGUGAGGGAAAGGCGAAAAGAACCCCGGCGAGGGGAGUGAAAAAGAACCUGAAACCGUGUACGUACAAGCAGUGGGAGCACGCUUAGGCGUGUGACUGCGUACCUUUUGUAUAAUGGGUCAGCGACUUAUAUUCUGUAGCAAGGUUAACCGAAUAGGGGAGCCGAAGGGAAACCGAGUCUUAACUGGGCGUUAAGUUGCAGGGUAUAGACCCGAAACCCGGUGAUCUAGCCAUGGGCAGGUUGAAGGUUGGGUAACACUAACUGGAGGACCGAACCGACUAAUGUUGAAAAAUUAGCGGAUGACUUGUGGCUGGGGGUGAAAGGCCAAUCAAACCGGGAGAUAGCUGGUUCUCCCCGAAAGCUAUUUAGGUAGCGCCUCGUGAAUUCAUCUCCGGGGGUAGAGCACUGUUUCGGCAAGGGGGUCAUCCCGACUUACCAACCCGAUGCAAACUGCGAAUACCGGAGAAUGUUAUCACGGGAGACACACGGCGGGUGCUAACGUCCGUCGUGAAGAGGGAAACAACCCAGACCGCCAGCUAAGGUCCCAAAGUCAUGGUUAAGUGGGAAACGAUGUGGGAAGGCCCAGACAGCCAGGAUGUUGGCUUAGAAGCAGCCAUCAUUUAAAGAAAGCGUAAUAGCUCACUGGUCGAGUCGGCCUGCGCGGAAGAUGUAACGGGGCUAAACCAUGCACCGAAGCUGCGGCAGCGACACUAUGUGUUGUUGGGUAGGGGAGCGUUCUGUAAGCCUGCGAAGGUGUGCUGUGAGGCAUGCUGGAGGUAUCAGAAGUGCGAAUGCUGACAUAAGUAACGAUAAAGCGGGUGAAAAGCCCGCUCGCCGGAAGACCAAGGGUUCCUGUCCAACGUUAAUCGGGGCAGGGUGAGUCGACCCCUAAGGCGAGGCCGAAAGGCGUAGUCGAUGGGAAACAGGUUAAUAUUCCUGUACUUGGUGUUACUGCGAAGGGGGGACGGAGAAGGCUAUGUUGGCCGGGCGACGGUUGUCCCGGUUUAAGCGUGUAGGCUGGUUUUCCAGGCAAAUCCGGAAAAUCAAGGCUGAGGCGUGAUGACGAGGCACUACGGUGCUGAAGCAACAAAUGCCCUGCUUCCAGGAAAAGCCUCUAAGCAUCAGGUAACAUCAAAUCGUACCCCAAACCGACACAGGUGGUCAGGUAGAGAAUACCAAGGCGCUUGAGAGAACUCGGGUGAAGGAACUAGGCAAAAUGGUGCCGUAACUUCGGGAGAAGGCACGCUGAUAUGUAGGUGAAGCGACUUGCUCGUGGAGCUGAAAUCAGUCGAAGAUACCAGCUGGCUGCAACUGUUUAUUAAAAACACAGCACUGUGCAAACACGAAAGUGGACGUAUACGGUGUGACGCCUGCCCGGUGC